AAGAUCAUACUUUUAGGGAUCAUUUCUAUAGUGUGUAUUUUGAAAACGUCGUCAUAUUUAGACGAUACGACAACUGCGAUGAUGAGUCGCAGGAUUCUCCUCUGAGCAUGAAGCUUUACUGUUUUGUAGGUUCAUUUACAAACAGUGAUUGAGGAUUGUUUUCAUUGCUGAUGUAGUUAAUGAAAGGAGGAGAAUCCUUGCUGAGCAGU
rfam:Ciona intestinalis ciona0023, whole genome shotgun sequence.